UAGGUGAAGGGGACUGGCUAUAACAGCUAGGUGAAGGGGACUGGUUAUAACAGCUAGGUGAAGGGGACUGGUUAUAACAGCUAGGUGAAGGGGACUGGUUAUAACAGCUAGGUGAAGGGGACUGGUUAUAACAACUAGGUGAAGGGGACUGGUUAUAACAACUAGGUGAAGGGGACUGGUUAUAACACCUAGGUGAAGGGGACUGGUUAUAACAGCUAGGUGAAGGGGACUGGUU